rnacentral:tRNA from 2 species
CCGAGAAUAGCUCAGCGGUAGAGCGGGAGACUGUAGUUGGAACUGCUAUCUUAACGAUGCAGCUUAUGUUGUAAUCUCUAGGUCCCUGGUUCAAAUCCGGGUUCUCGGA